rnacentral:rRNA from 1 species
UACGAAGGGGGCUAGCGUUGCUCGGAAUCACUGGGCGUAAAGCGCACGUAGGCGGAUUGCUAAGUCAGGGGUGAAAUCCUGGAGCUCAACUCCAGAACUGCCUUUGAUACUGGCAACCUUGAGUCCGGGAGAGGUGAGUGGAAUUGCGAGUGUAGAGGUGAAAUUCGUAGAUAUUCGCAAGAACACCAGUGGCGAAGGCGGCUCACUGGCCCGGAACUGACGCUGAGACGCGAAAGCGUGGGGAGCAAACAGG